rnacentral:rRNA from 1 species
UGGGGAAUAUUGCACAAUGGGCGCAAGCCUGAUGCAGCCAUGCCGCGUGUGUGAAGAAGGCCUUCGGGUUGUAAAGCACUUUCAGCGAGGAGGAAGGGUAGUGUGUUAAUAGCACAUUGCAUUGACGUUACUCGCAGAAGAAGCACCGGCUAACUCCGUGCCAGCAGCCGCGGUAAUACGGAGGGUGCAAGCGCUAAUCGGAAUUACUGGGCGUAAAGCGCACGCAGGCGGUUUGUUAAGUCAGAUGUGAAAUCCCCGCGCUUAACGUGGGAACUGCAUUUGAAACUGGCAAGCUAGAGUCUUGUAGAGGGGGGUAGAAUUCCAGGUGUAGCGGUGAAAUGCGUAGAGAUCUGGAGGAAUACCGGUGGCGAAGGCGGCCCCCUGGACAAAGACUGACGCUCAGGUGCGAAAGCGUGGGGAGCAAACA